GAACAACCUAAAAUAUCGCAAAUAAUAUCUUUAAUGUAUAAGGAAUUAUAUUGAUAUUUAGUGAAUCGUGUACUGGUAUUAUUUAGGGUCCAUCCGUUUGUUUGUAUGUCUGUACAUUGGUUUAUUAUUCGAAAUUAAGAUAGCUGGAUAAAGCAAUUUGUUGAAAGCAGACCAAUAUAUCAUUGCUGUUUUAAUCAUUAUCUAAAAGACGACCAUUGUCAUGAAUGUAAACCUGGAACGAUGUCAUAUAACUAUGAAGGUUGCCAACCAUGCGAACAAAAUUAUUUUGGACAUAUGUGUCAAUAUAAGUGUAGCUGUGAGUCUAACAAGAGGUAAACAUGUGUUUUCCAAGAAAAAAAUAU